rnacentral:misc_RNA from 1 species
GAAAUGCGAUAAGUAAUGUGAAUUGCAGAAUUCAGUGAAUCAUCGAAUCUUUGAACGCACCUUGCGCUCCCUGGUAUUCCGGGGAGCACGCCUGUUCGAGUGUUAUGAAACUCUCAAUCGACUAUUGAUGCUUGCGUUAAUAGCUGAUUGGAUUUGAGCUCUGCUGUGUAACAAACGGCUGGUUCUAAAAGUAUUAGCUGGCUCUUAACGAUUUUCUUGGUUAACUUGGCGUAAUAAUCCUAUCCCCCUUAUUAACGUUGAGCACAUAACUGUGUAGCUUGCUAUCAGUAAUGGCCUGGAAUUGACUAUAGGCUGCUUCUAAUCGUCUUUCAUGGACAAUAUUAGUAACUUCAAUAUGACCUCGAAUCAGGUGGGACUACCCGCUGAACUUAA